GAGGGCAUAGCUCAGUGGUAGAGUGCAUGCUUAGCAUGCAAGAGGUCCUGGGUUCAAUCCCCAGUGCUGCCA
rnacentral:tRNA from 1 species